ACGGGGUGGGAUCGGGACGAGGAUCGGGAUGCCGGCAGAGGGUCCGGCGGGGCUCGGGGCGAACAUGGCGGCGGUUCUGGGGGGGGAGCCCUGAGGGGCGGCCCCUGAGGGGGAUCUGCGGGCACGGACAGCCGGGUGGGACGGUCGGUGUCGCACGGGUCGGACACGGGCCUUUCCUGAGGAUAAUUCACAUGUUUGUUUAUUCUCGGUCUCGCAGCAACCCCCGGGCUGGCAGCGGCGCUGGAAUCGCGCACCGCGAUCCAAAUUAGCACAAACCUGCCCGCAGAACGCGGCACAGGCACCGGCAGCCAUCCAGGGAAUGCUGGCUUGAAGAAGGAUGUCAAUAGUCACAGUCCAGCUUGGGCAGUGUGGGAACCAGAUUGGGCACGAGGUGUUUUGCUGCCUGUGCAGUGACAUCCGUGGCACUCACGGGCUCUGCUCCAAGAAGGAAAACCAAUCCUACCAGGAUGCCUGCAAGGAGAGGUUUUUCUGGGAGGAGGAAUCUGGAGUGCCUGUGGCCCGGGCUGUGCUGGUUGACAUGGAGCCCAAAGUCAUCAGCCAAACCUUAUCCAUGGCUGCCAGGUCUGGCUGCUGGAAAUACAACAACCAGUCCCACUUCUGCCAGAAGCAAGGCUCUGGGAACAACUGGGCCAACGGUUACUCUGUCCACGGGCCCAGACACAAGGAAUCAAUCAUGGAUCUGGUGCAGAGAGAAGCAGAGAGAUGCGACCGCCUGGGAGGAUUUUUCACCAUCAUGAGCAUGGCUGGGGGCACAGGGUCAGGCCUGGGAGCAUUUGUGACCCAGUGCUUGAGAGAUGCUUUUCCAGCCUCAUUUAUCCUAAACCACGUUAUCUGGCCCUAUGGCACUGGUGAGGUCAUUGUUCAAAACUACAACUCUGUUUUGACUCUGUCACAUCUGUACCGCUCCUCAGACGCCCUCCUUGUCCACGAGAACGAUGUCAUCCACAAGAUCUGUGCCCAGCUGAUGAACAUCAAACAGAUCUCCUUCAGGGAUGUGAACCAAGUCAUUGCACAUCAGCUGGGCAGCGUCUUCCAGCCCGUUCACCCAGCAGAGGGGGGCUCAAACUACAGCAGGAACCCACUGGGAGACUUGAUGGAGACGCUGGUCCCACAUCCCGAGUUCAAGAUGUUGGGGCUCCGGAACAUUCCUCAGAUUCCUGAGAACUCCCUCCCCUACAGCACCUUCAGCUGGCCUGGGCUCAUCAAACAUCUGAGGCAGAUGCUCAUUGCUAAUGCCCAGAUGGAGGAAGGUAUUGACUGGCAAGUACGACCACCUCCUCCAGGCUCCUCCACCCCCUCCAGCCAUUCCACAAAGAAGCCACUGCACUUCAACACUUCCAUUGCCAACCUGGUUAUCCUGAGAGGAAAAGAUGUCCACAGUGUGGAUUUGGGAAGUUUCCAAGAUCCCUCCCUGUACACAUCAUGGCUAAAGCCUCAGGAUGCUUUUAAUGCCUGGAGAACACCAAGAGCAUUUAACAAGUAUGAAAAGUCUGCCUCUCUGGUCAGCAACAGCCAGUUCCUGCUGAAACCUCUCGACAGCGUUGUGGGAAAAGCUUGGAAUAUGUUUGCUUCCAAAGCUUAUAUUCACCAGUACACCAAAUUUGGAAUUGAAGAGGAAGAUUUCCUGGACAGCUUCACAACCCUGGAACAAGUUAUCUCCAGUUACACCACCCUUUGAUUUUCUUUCUUUUAAAUGAUCAGAAAUAGAGCUUUUCUGAAAGAACCCAGCACUGGAAAACCUCCCAUCAACUUCCUGAAGUAUGGAAAUGUCUGGGCUGGAGCUGGUUUUCAGUCUUGAAAGCAGUGUGUGUGUGUGUUAGGACAGCAAGAACUGACUCUGAGCUGAAUAUAUUCCUAUGGGCAGAAGAAACUGGAGGAAAGGUUGCACGAGCUGGGACAAACAGCACAGGCACUGCAAGAACAAAGGGUCAGGAAAGGACACCGUGGGGAGCUUCUCCCUCCUGCAGGAGGCCCAGGAUGUUCAGCCACACAGACACCCCUGUCCUGGUGUUCCCAACAGAUCCCAGACUGGUCAGAAACGGGGAACUGCACGUCUGCAACAAGGGCCAAGUCCCAGCAAUGCUUCCUCCUGGCCCACAGAACAGCAGGAACAGGCAGCCGGGGGAGUUCAGAGGGAGCUGCUUGAGCAGAAACACAGCAGGACACCGGGACGGAGGGAAGGAGCUACAGACACAGGGAGCAGGAGCUUUCCUGGCUGUUUUCCAGCGUGGAACUGGAGGAUUUGACCUGCCACGGGCACUGUGACCUGAGCUGUGCUGACCCCAACAAUCCCCACCGCUGGGGCAGGGCAGCUCUGCCCCCUCCCCCAGGGCACACCUUCGGGCAGGAACGACCCACAGGGCGGGCAGGAAAAGCCAGGAAAAUCAAGAGGAGGAGUUUCAGCCCUGCCUGACCUGAGCUCUGAUGUGCUACUUUCUGUUUUCCUCUCGUGAAAGCAAGAGAGCGUCAGCCACGCCCCACAGAAGACGAGAGUGAAAAAAUCUCUAUCACAUCAAAGUCAUCUUUGAGGUUUAACCAACCGUUAGUUGCUGUUACUUCCGUGUGAUUUUCAGUAACUCCCAGGAAAAAAAAAAGCAAGAUGCUUUAUUCAGUGUCUAAACUGAGAGACAGCAGCUAAAAAUAGAGACCUGUGCCCAGACUGUCUCUCCUGCAAGAGCUCCCCUUGGAUUUGUCCCUAACACACUGAAGGAGAUGACUGACUGCUUCCAAUGCCUGACUAAAGAUACGGACAGCAAAAGGAAGCUGUGGAUUUAGGGAGCAGAAUCCAUGUUUUCAGGUGAAAUGCUGAAAGACUCCAAGUCUCGGAAGCCACAAAAAUGCAGCUGCAGAUGUAUCUGCUCCAUUCCAGACAACAAAUGUCACAGUGUUACCAACCCAGUUCAAUACACAGAGUGGAAACAAUCCAGCUGAAAUAAACACUGGGAAACGUUAUUUCUUUGUUUAUUUAAGCAAACAUAAAACUACCCAUUAGGUUUACUUUCAUUUCUAUGAUUUUUUUUUUACCUUUUACCAAGUCUUAUCAUCUCCCAGCAGCUGAACAGGUAGGAGCAGGUAGAACCAUCAGCUCCUUCUUUAAAUAAGUGUUAGAAAGCUUCAGAAUAACAGCAGAGCUUAUUGGAAUGGACACAUGGAACACAAGCUGAAGAACAACAGACAUAUAUAUAUAUUUCACACUAUAUGUAUGUAAACAUAUUGAACUAAAAGUGGGAGAAAGCUCUGUUUUUCCAGGGAUUUUCCAGCAGGCAAGAGGCAGAAUUGUAAGGAGACCCCCAAAGGAGCAGUUUAUUGGCUCAGGCUCUGGGAAAAGGGUUUUUUUCUCUUUUAGUUGUUGUUAGAGUCUUCUCAUCUCAGCCUGAGGGCACACAGGUAAAUGUGUCACCCACUGCCAGGGGAGCUUCCAGACACCACCAGAACUGAGAGAGGUAAAUAAAUAAAUACCCGUGUCCCUCGGGUGAAUCUGAGGACAAAAAAGCUGCCACCAGAACUGGGGAGAGCAGCCAAGGGCUGUCACUGCUCCAGUGUCCUGAGGGGAACGGGACACACAGCUCUGGGCUGGGAUCCCCUCAAAGUGCAGCUCCAAAGUUUCCACGGAUUGAGAAAAGUGAAGUACCAAGCAGAGCUGUGAUUUUUGGAAUGUGCACUGCGUUAGAAGACCUUUGUGACUUUAUUUUCAAAGACCUUAUUUAGGCCAAAAAGUGAAAAGAUUUAAGAAAAAAAAAAAAAGGUGGAGAAUUUAAGCAAUAGUGUUCACCUCUAAAAACCACCAGGAGCACAGGAAUGGCCUUUGUGCUUUUGACCACCCUGCACCACCUCCCGAGCCUUAGAUAUGUAAAUUCACUCUGCUCAGAGCUCUGUCAGAGCAGCCUCCCCGCUCUGGUUGUUGGCUUCAGAGAGAACUUCAAACACAAGAAACAAGGUACAAACCUCACACACAACCGGGAUGAAACUCUAAAUAAAGGAUGUUUGUUAUGCAGAACCGCAGCGGCGACUCCUCCUCGGAGCUAAACCCAACCUGAUGCUCAAUGGAACAGCUGGAGAUGGAUGAGGGGACGGUCAGAUGAGAGAUACCAAAAUGUCAGACAGCCUACCGACUGUUGUUGCCAUGAGAUCCAACAGUCAACAUCAGUCUGAUAAGCUAUCCGACAGGAUGGUGGGGAUGGAGCAGCUGGAACACCACGGCACACUCGCAGCACGGGACACACACCAGCUCCCCCUGGCUCCAAACCUGCCCCAGCCCAGCCUAAGCUCAGCCAGGCAGGGUCUAACCUGCUCUGAGCACCUCCUGCGAUGCUCACCGAGAGAAAACUCAGCAUUACUUACCCCCAGGACAGGAAUCAAACCAACAGGUCACAAAUAUUUACAGAUGGAAGGACCAAAGAGAGAAAAGAGCCAUUUUAAUGUUAGUUCUGUUCCUGGACAUGAGAGCUGACACACACACACACUGGUUCAGAACAAGGUUUGGAAAAUAUCUGACUUGAAAAGCAUAAGAUUAAAGUUCUUUAAAGUUCUGUUCUGGACAUCAAAUCUGCUUUCAGCUGGAAUAUUAAAUCUUCCCCCUCUCUUCUCCUCCACUGCCCACAAUUCUGGCAUCAGGGGCAAACACCUGAGCAGAAUAAAUAUUGUUCAUUGCUUAACCUGCCUAUUUGUGCUUCAAGCAAGGGAUGUCCUUCCUGCUGCCUUUGCUGAGUAAGAAGUUCUUAAGAAAAAAGAGAAAAAAAACCAAACCAAAACAAAAAAAGCCCAAAGGGUUUCAGCACCAUCAGUGCAGGAAGGCUGAGUGAACGUGCAGCUCACGGGAUUAAGGCUUCAGAAAGAAACUGAGCAUCCAAAAGUGGAGAGGGAAAGAAAGAGCUUAAAAAGACUGACACAAGAAAUUCUGGAAUGAUCAAAGAUGCCUUUAUAAAGUUUUAUCUUAACUUCAUUCUAAAUAUACAGAAUAAAAAAUGUCGGCGUCAGCAUUUGACAUCAAUCACCUCUGAUAACAGCACGGACUUGGGCAGGGUGGCUUUUCCAACGUGCAAUGGAUGGGACACCGGGAAUUCAGACGGCACAGCCUUACCAGGAGGAACAUGCAAGAGUUUGUAUCCAAUCUGUACUCAGUUAUUUACAUCGUGAUGGGCUGGAAAGUCAUGGAAAAAGCAAAACAAGCCACCCUUCUAAAUGAGAAGUCGCCCUCAGGUCAGUGUGAGUUAACCCAGGAAAUGGAGAGUAUGAAAUCAUCCAGUUUGGAAGUAAUUUGGAUGGACAACGUUUGUGUAAAACCCCACUGAACAUCCCAUUGUCCAUCCUGUCCAACACAACCCAGACUCAUGAAGCAUUCACACCUUACCUUAACGUUUAUAAGCUUGUCAGUGAAACCUUUGCUCUAAUAUCCAAAUUACUUUCAAAAAAAAAUCAAAUAAAAACUUUGUUCUAGUUGAAAA